rnacentral:rRNA from 1 species
UACGGGGGGGGGCAAGCGUUGUCCGGAAUUACUGGGCGUAAAGAGCUCGUAGGUGGUUUGUCGCGUUGUCCGUGAAAACUCACAACUCAAUUGUGGGCGUGCGGGCGAUACGGGCAGACUGGAGUACUGCAGGGGAGACUGGAAUUCCUGGUGUAGCGGUGGAAUGCGCAGAUAUCAGGAGGAACACCGGUGGCGAAGGCGGGUCUCUGGGCCGAUACUGACGCUGAGGCGCGAAAGCCAGGGGAGCGAACGGG